CUGCCCCAAGUGACAUAUCAGAGACCAGAGAUUUGACUCCUUCACACCUAAGUCAGUGGGACAAGAUGGCAGUAGCAUURUUAACCCAGGUGCAAAGGCCCAGGCUCUGCCAGUGACCUUUCCUAGGGCUCAUCUGGAAUUCAGGAAAUGGCUUGCCUUAUGUCCCUCCUUGAUGGGGAGAUUUUAUAAAAAAAAAAACAAAAACCAAUUAAAAAGCCUCUGCCAGAAGGAUGUCAAAAGCCUUACUGCAAACACUCAGAAGGGCUGGUGCCCUCAAGGGCUCUCAAUGAACAAUGCUGCAGGAAUUAAUCCGGGAUCCGUGGGCACACCGCCGAGGACAAAGGUGUUGAGGAAUACAUCAGUUGUUGAGAUGAGAAGAUGAAUCUCAAGUUACAUGCCCUAUAAAUUGGACCAUUUAAAGAGCCUUUCUUAAUUCACACCAGAGCUGCUAGGACUCUACACUGGAGAGUAAACCAGCCUGGUUUACCUUUGGCUUUAAAUGAUGCUGUCUGCACAGAUGCACAAAAUCUUAGCAGUAGCCUUUUUCCUGCUCCCAUUUUGUGCUCAAGGUAAACCUGCAGGACUUCUUUCACGGUUCCCUUUUUUUGGAGAUGGGAGAGAUG